rnacentral:rRNA from 1 species
AUCUCAGUUCGGAUUGCAGCCUGCAACUCGGCUGCAUGAAGCUGGAAUCGCUAGUAAUCGCAGAUCAGAAUGCUGCGGUGAAUACGUUCCCGGGUCUUGUACACACCGCCCGUCACACCAUGGGAGUUGGAAAUGCCCGAAGUCAGUGACCGAACCGAAAGGAAGGAGCUGCCGAAGGUGGAGCCGAUGACUGGGGUGAAGUCGUAACAAGGUAAC